GUUUCUUCUGGUGAGGUGCUCACUCACGGCAUGGCCCUUCCCACAGAGCUUUGCUGGUCUAAGAAGUCCUAUGCUGACGGUGCCAAAGCCCAGAUGUGGAAUAUGACGCUGGACAAAGACGCAUGAUGGGGGCACACAGGAUUGUUCACGCAGAAAACACRUAAUCCCUCUGGGAUCCCGUCCUCUGUGAGUGUUGCUCUCUAAUCUCAGUGUCCUGGCUSUUGGGCAGUAGCUUUUAACUCUGCAAGUAGGAAGGAAAUGAGGGCUCUCCCUCUCCACACACCGUCACUGGGUUCAGCUCUUUAGCCCUAGAUACCUGCUCUUGCAGGCAGACUGUCCUGACACUGCUCUUCCCGAGAUGAAGGCUUCCUGCGG
ensembl:lncRNA